rnacentral:rRNA from 1 species
GUGUCAGCCGCCGCGGUAAUACGUAGGGUGCGAGCGUUGUCCGGAAUUAUUGGGCGUAAAGAGCUCGUAGGCGGUUUGUCGCGUCUGCUGUGAAAGCCCGGGGCUUAACCCCGGGUGUGCAGUGGGUACGGGCAGACUAGAGUGCAGUAGGGGAGACUGGAAUUCCUGGUGUAGCGGUGGAAUGCGCAGAUAUCAGGAGGAACACCGAUGGCGAAGGCAGGUCUCUGGGCUGUCACUGACGCUGAGGAGCGAAAGCAUGGGGAGCGAACAGGAUUAGAUACCCUCGUAGUCC